rnacentral:lncRNA from 1 species
AUGCCCUCUUCUAUCCUAGGACUGCUGAUGCUGGUGGCAGUAGCUGAAUCUCUCAUUGGCCUCAUUGGAAAUGGAGUUCUUGUGGUCUGGAGUUUCGGAGAAUGUCUCCGAACGUUCAGGGCGUCCUCGUAUAACCUCAUUGUCCUGGGCCUGGCGGUCUGUCAGUUGCUUCUACAAUGGUUGAUUAUGGUGGACUCAAGUCUGUUCGUGCUUUUCCAGAGCAGCCAUUGGCUUCGCUGGCUCAGUGUCUUCAGGGUUCUGGUAAGCCAGGUCAGCCUGUGGUUUGCGAGUUUUCUCAGUGUCUUCUAUUGUAGGAAGAUCAUGACCGUUGAACACCCUGUCUCUUUGUGGCUGAAGCAGAAGGCGUUACCUGAGUUGCUGGUGCUUUCUGGUGUACUUCACGAUCCAUUUGUUACUUACAGUCAGGGGUAGCUUAGACUUCUCCAGUCCUUCCCAAGGAAACAGCAGCAUCUUAUUCCCCAUUUCAAACUGGCACUAUAUAUGUAUAUUACAGCUCAAUACAGAAAGUAUGAUGCCUUUCACGAUGUUUCCUGUUUCCUCUGGGCUGCUGUGUCUCUUUGUAUAGACGCUACAGGAAGAUGAAGGUCCAUACAGCCGGCAGAAGAGAUGCUCAGGCCAAGGCUCAUAUCACUGUCCUGAAGUCCUUGGGCUGUUUCCUUGUACUUUACAUGGUCUACAUCCUGGCCAGCCCCUUCUCCAUCAGCUCCAAGACUUUUCCUGCAGAUCUCUUCACUGUCUUCAUCUCUGAGACACUCAUGGCCACCUACCCUUUUCUUCAUUCUGUCAUACUGAUCAUGGGGAACCCCAGGAUGAAGCAGGCAUGUCAGAGAAUCCUGUGGAAGACUGUAUGUGCUUGA